UACGGAGGGUGCGAGCGUUGUCCGGAAUCAUUGGGCGUAAAGGGCGCGUAGGUGGCCCGGUCAGUUCGUGGUGAAAGCGCGGGGCUCAACCCUGCGUCGGCCAUGAAUACUGCCGCGGCUGGAGCACUGUAGAGGCAGGCGGAAUUCCGGGUGUAGCGGUGGAAUGCGUAGAGAUCCGGAAGAACACCGGUGGCGAAGGCGGCCUGCUGGGCAGUUAGCUGACACUGAGGCGCGACAGCGUGGGGAGUAAACAGG
rnacentral:rRNA from 1 species